GGUUAAGCGACUAAGCGUACACGGUGGAUGCCCUGGCAGUCAGAGGCGAUGAAGGACGUGCUAAUCUGCGAAAAGCGUCGGUAAGGUGAUAUGAACCGUUAUAACCGGCGAUGUCCGAAUGGGGAAACCCAGUGCAAUUCGUUGCACUAUCGUUAACUGAAUACAUAGGUUAACGAGGCGAACCGGGGGAACUGAAACAUCUAAGUACCCCGAGGAAAAGAAAUCAACCGAGAUUCCCCCAGUAGCGGCGAGCGAACGGGGAGCAGCCCAGAGUCUGAAUCAGCUUGUGUGUUAGUGGAACGGUCUGGAAAGUCCGACGGUACAGGGUGAUAGUCCCGUACACCAAAAUGCACAGGUUGUGAACUCGAAGAGUAGGGCGGGACACGUGGUAUCCUGUCUGAAUAUGGGGGGACCAUCCUCCAAGGCUAAAUACUCCUGACUGACCGAUAGUGAACCAGUACCGUGAGGGAAAGGCGAAAAGAACCCCGGCGAGGGGAGUGAAAAAGAACCUGAAACCGUGUACGUACAAGCAGUGGGAGCACCUUCGGGUGUGACUGCGUACCUUUUGUAUAAUGGGUCAGCGACUUAUAUUCUGUAGCAAGGUUAACCGUAUAGGGGAGCCGCAGGGAAACCGAGUCUUAACUGGGCGUUAAGUUGCAGGGUAUAGACCCGAAACCCGGUGAUCUAGCCAUGGGCAGGUUGAAGGUUGGGUAACACUAACUGGAGGACCGAACCGACUAAUGUUGAAAAAUUAGCGGAUGACUUGUGGCUGGGGGUGAAAGGCCAAUCAAACCGGGAGAUAGCUGGUUCUCCCCGAAAGCUAUUUAGGUAGCGCCUCGUGAAUUCAUCUUCGGGGGUAGAGCACUGUUUCGGCUAGGGGGUCAUCCCGACUUACCAACCCGAUGCAAACUACGAAUACCGAAGAAUGUUAUCACGGGAGACACACGGCGGGUGCUAACGUCCGUCGUGAAGAGGGAAACAACCCAGACCGCCAGCUAAGGUCCCAAAGUCAUGGUUAAGUGGGAAACGAUGUGGGAAGGCACAGACAGCCAGGAUGUUGGCUUAGAAGCAGCCAUCAUUUAAAGAAAGCGUAAUAGCUCACUGGUCGAGUCGGCCUGCGCGGAAGAUGUAACGGGGCUAAACCAUGCACCGAAGCUGCGGCAGCGACACUAUGUGUUGUUGGGUAGGGGAGCGUUCUGUAAGCCUGCGAAGGUGUGCUGUGAGGCAUGCUGGAGGUAUCAGAAGUGCGAAUGCUGACAUAAGUAACGAUAAAGCGGGUGAAAAGCCCGCUCGCCGGAAGACCAAGGGUUCCUGUCCAACGUUAAUCGGGGCAGGGUGAGUCGACCCCUAAGGCGAGGCCGAAAGGCGUAGUCGAUGGGAAACAGGUUAAUAUUCCUGUACUUGGUGUUACUGCGAAGGGGGGACGGAGAAGGCUAUGUUAGCCGGGCGACGGUUGUCCCGGUUUAAGCAUGUAGGCUGGUUGUCCAGGCAAAUCCGGAUAAUCAAGGCUGAGGUGUGAUGACGAGGCACUACGGUGCUGAAGUAACAAAUGCCCUGCUUCCAGGAAAAGCCUCUAAGCAUCAGGUAACAUCAAAUCGUACCCCAAACCGACACAGGUGGUCAGGUAGAGAAUACCAAGGCGCUUGAGAGAACUCGGGUGAAGGAACUAGGCAAAAUGGUGCCGUAACUUCGGGAGAAGGCACGCUGGUGUGUAGGUGAAGUCCCUGCGGAUGGAGCUGAGACCAGUCGAAGAUACCAGCUGGCUGCAACUGUUUAUUAAAAACACAGCACUGUGCAAACACGAAAGUGGACGUAUACGGUGUGACGCCUGCCCGGUGCCGGAAGGUUAAUUGAUGGGGUUAUCCGUAAGGAGAAGCUCUUGAUCGAAGCCCCGGUAAACGGCGGCCGUAACUAUAACGGUCCUAAGGUAGCGAAAUUCCUUGUCGGGUAAGUUCCGACCUGCACGAAUGGCGUAAUGAUGGCCAGGCUGUCUCCACCCGAGACUCAGUGAAAUUGAACUCGCUGUGAAGAUGCAGUGUACCCGCGGCAAGACGGAAAGACCCCGUGAACCUUUACUAUAGCUUGACACUGAACAUUGAGCCUUGAUGUGUAGGAUAGGUGGGAGGCUUUGAAGCGUGGACGCCAGUCUGCGUGGAGCCAACCUUGAAAUACCACCCUUUAAUGUUUGAUGUUCUAACGUUGGCCCCUUACCGGGGUUGCGGACAGUGUCUGGUGGGUAGUUUGACUGGGGCGGUCUCCUCCCAAAGCGUAACGGAGGAGCACGAAGGUUAGCUAAUCCUGGUCGGACAUCAGGAGGUUAGUGCAAUGGCAUAAGCUAGCUUGACUGCGAGCGUGACGGCGCGAGCAGGUGCGAAAGCAGGUCAUAGUGAUCCGGUGGUUCUGAAUGGAAGGGCCAUCGCUCAACGGAUAAAAGGUACUCCGGGGAUAACAGGCUGAUACCGCCCAAGAGUUCAUAUCGACGGCGGUGUUUGGCACCUCGAUGUCGGCUCAUCACAUCCUGGGGCUGAAGUAGGUCCCAAGGGUAUGGCUGUUCGCCAUUUAAAGUGGUACGCGAGCUGGGUUUAGAACGUCGUGAGACAGUUCGGUCCCUAUCUGCCGUGGGCGCUGGAGAAUUGAGGGGGGCUGCUCCUAGUACGAGAGGACCGGAGUGGACGCAUCACUGGUGUUCGGGUUGUCAUGCCAAUGGCACUGCCCGGUAGCUAAAUGCGGAAGAGAUAAGUGCUGAAAGCAUCUAAGCACGAAACUUGCCCCGAGAUGAGUUCUCCCUGAGACUAUAAGUCUCCUGAAGGAACGUUGAAGACGACGACGUUGAUAGGCCGGGUGUGUAAGCGCAGCGAUGCGUUGAGCUAACCGGUACUAAUGAACCGUGAGGCUUAACCUU
rnacentral:rRNA from 1 species